UCAGUCGGGCCCAAGAGCACUGCAGUUCUGUUGGGUGACAGCAGUGUUUGUUUUGCCCACAG
ensembl:miRNA